UCGGGAGUUCGGGCACGAGAGGGGGAUCGACGCGGGGAAAGCUCCUCUGCCUAGGGCAGGAAAAGUACAAACGUACCUUUUGAAGAGCCCGCAGGCUCUGUUGAUCCGGGCUGCGCUCGGAGCGCGCGGAGAGAAGACAGGAGCUGCCUGGGGCGAAAGAAAGGCGAUACGUGGUGGAGAAAAGGAGCUCCCCGAAGAGAGCAUUGUGCUGACAAGUCGUAGUGUGUGCUGAGGAACGGAGCUGUGCUCAUUGUUAGACGUGGUGGCUGUCUGUAUUCCUCUCUCUCUCUCCCUCUCUCAUUGUAGUUUACGGUGGACCUGCUGGAGUAAACGGAAAAUCCUAUGGGUAAAAAGGAACUUUGGUCUAACCAGUACUUUUGAAGGAGUAAAGCAGGAAGAAAAUUGACCUUGUUGUACAACGUAAACAAAGGCUAUCUGCUGAGAAGGAGGGCGGCCCUACCCCUAAAACAGCGUGGUGGGUGAGCCGUUAGGAGCGUCAAUCUAAGCAGCCACAGCAACGAAACAUUAUUCUGGUCGCAUUUCCAUCGCCCUUAUUUCAGCCCAAGUGAAGUGGAGGACGCCGGGCGUUUCCUUUGUGUGUACACUUAUAGUAUGAGUCAGAGGCGAAAGGGUCCGCCGCCCCCGCGGUCUCUACAAAGGGGCGCCCCUGUCCAGGAUUCGAUCGCCCUACGGGCAGUGGAGAUAGGGCAGCGCUCGACCCGGUGAGGUGGUGUG